rnacentral:rRNA from 1 species
GUGGGGAAUAUUGGACAAUGGGCGCAAGCCUGAUCCAGCCAUGCCGCGUGAGUGAUGAAGGCCUUAGGGUUGUAAAGCUCUUUCAGUGGGGACGAUAAUGACGGUACCCACAGAAGAAGCCCCGGCUAACUUCGUGCCAGCAGCCGCGGUAAUACGAAGGGGGCUAGCGUUGUUCGGAUUUACUGGGCGUAAAGCGCACGUAGGCGGUUUGUUAAGUCAGAGGUGAAAUCCCGGAGCUCAACUCCGGAACUGCCUUUGAUACUGGCAAGCUAGAGUCCGGAAGAGGUAAGUGGAACUCCUAGUGUAGAGGUGGAAUUCGUAGAUAUUAGGAAGAACACCAGUGGCGAAGGCGGCUUACUGGUCCGGAACUGACGCUGAGGUGCGAAAGCGUGGGGAGCAAACAGGAUUAGAAACCCUGGUAGUCC